UUUUUUUUUUUUUUUUUUUUAGUAGGAUCUGAACAAGAGUUGGACACUUGGGAUGCCUGGGUGGCUUAGCAUUGAGCAUCUGCCUUUGGCUCAGGCCGUGAUCCUGGAGUCCCGGGAUCGAGUCCCACAUCGGGCUCCCUGCAUGGAGCCUGCUUCUCCCUCUGCCUGUAUCUCUGCCUCUCUCUCUCUGUGUCUCUCAUGAAUACAUCAAAUCUUAAAAAAAAAAAAAAAGACUUGGAUGCUUAACAAAUUGAGCCACCCAGGUGCCCCAUGUGCAUUCUUUUCGUACAGGAUUAUUUGUAGUAAAUUGUACACCAUUUUCCACCUGGAGUGUUUGUCCAUCUCAAACACUGUGUGUCUAUCAACACAUCUUUUUGUUUGCUUUAAGGAGGGCACAGUUAAAGAUUUUUUCAGGGAUACUUGUGAUCACUCUAUAGACCAUUUGAAUUGUGACUAUGACACAUGUCAUAGGGAAAACUCAGAUGAGCAGUGCCCUGUAUGGAAUUCAGCCUUCCUGAGACUUAAUUGUGCAUGGGUAACCUGCUGCAUGUCGCACACUGCACGUAUGCAACUCAAUGCUGAUGAUCAGGGUAACCACAGAACCCCUCAACAUAGAAUAACACAGAUCACAUGCUACCCCGGGGCCUUAGCCAAGCAUGUAUCGCUUUGUUCUGUAAACUGGAGAACUGGCCUCUAAAAGCCCCAAACUGUAUAUUUGUGAGAACAGAGCUGCGAAUGUUUUCAUUUUGCGACAAUCAUCCAGUUUAUUAUCUUGGAAUAUGUACAACAGAAAUAAAACAAAACAAGAUACAAAUCCUACAGACUGUGGAAGUGGAAGUAGGGGUAGAGGAUGAUGUGGGGAUGGAGAACAAAGACACUGAUGCUGCAUGGUUUUUAUUUUUUAUAUUUGAGUUAUUAUUCCUUAGAAAAAGAUGCAGUCAGUUUGAGAAAAUAUUGGAGUCAUUAAAAUACGGCAAAUCAAGGUCUUGAGGACUUCUAACUUCAAAUAUCCUUUGGUGUCAACUAAUGGUUCCUGAAAACAACAAUCCCACAGAGUAUGUAGAUUUACAUACUUCUCUAUAAAAUACUUAAAAAUUAAAAGUAGGUGCUACCUCCAAGCAGCAUUCUUUGACGCUGCUCUUCCACAGAGGCUUAGGUUUUAUUUUAAACAAGAGGUCUGAUUUCACCUUGGAAACCUGUGGAGAGCAACCCAGGGCAAAGCUGAGUGGAGUCUGGAACAGUUCCCAUGGGGGUUGGAAGGCAGAGACAUCAGGCCCCAAACAUGCUCUUCUAUUGAGAGAUUCUGUUCUUGAAAGCCUUGCCCUAUGAAAUAUGGGGAAUCUGAACCACUCAUGUGAGUCCAGAAAAAACAACAACAACAACUGAUCUCUGUUGUAGAGAGAGCACAUGGAUCAAGCCCCAUCUGUCCUUUAAACUAUAGUAUUAAUGAGAUUUUUUUUCCUCAGAAAGGAGAAUGGGAAGUGAGCAGAGGGUACUGGCAAGUUGUGGCUGGCAGAGUAAGGGGAGUGAUGGUGGUGGCACUGGGAUGGGAAGUUACUGCUAUGGUGGAGGUGAUAAGGACAGGGGGGCAGUGAUAAAAAUGGAAGGUGGUGGCAGUGGUGAUGGUGGAGGUGGGGGCAGUAGUAGCAUUGGUGGAAAGAAGAUACGGACUAACAACACUGUGCUCAGAGAUGGGACAAUGAGGGUUUAAACAACACCCCAAUUGUUCCAUUCAUUCAUUCCCUGACAUACCUCCUCCUUCACCAUAUAUAUUUAGGCUUCUUGCAAUGUUGCAGUUUAAUAACCAAAUUGCGUAAUUUGUAGAGUUUCUAUUUUCCCCACUCUAGUCAACUGAAAUCUGAAUACAAAAUGCCAUUUUGUUGUGGUGGUUGUUGCUCAGGGAGGAGAGGUGAGGAAUGUCCUCCCAGCUUCUUCUGUGCCACAGAAUUCACGAUAGGCCUCAGAACAUUAGUUUGUUUCCCUUCCCGUUGGCUCUGCCUUAGAAAAAAUCUCGGGAAAAAAUGCUCCCAAAGGAGAAACCCAGGGAUGAGAAAGACAUAGCAGGUGGGGGCAAUCAUAUUGCUGGGAAAAUAUUAUCUAUUCUAUUUUUAACAUGAUGCCCUUUCUGUUGUGCCUCUGUGUUAUCAGAAAGGUCUUCUGGGGAAAACCUCUGGGCUGGUUUCAUUGACAGGAAAGAUAAGAUCAAUUGUGUGAAUAAACUGCUAUGGCAAACUUAAAGAAAGCUAGCAAAAGAGGCUCAGAGGGAAACUCAAGGUGAGGACCCUUCUCUGUGUCACAUCAUUAUCCAUGUUUUUUGCAUGCAGAGUUCCAAAGUGGGUAUCAGCAGGGAAUAAAGAAAAUAACAUCAAUGCAGCAACAUAAAACUAACGUCUAUUUGCACACACACCAAGGGAAUGUUGGAUAAAGAAAAGUUGGAAAUACUGAUAUUGCUGGAAAAUAUGACUCUCAACUCAGUACAUAGGGUUGAAAAAGGCUUGGAUUACCCCAGACUUGAGCAAGCAGCAUUGAAAUACCUCACAUCACCAUCUAAAUCAGUGGAUUGCAAAGGUUGAUUCAAGGACUACUCUUUCAAAAUGCUGAUUCUUGGGCACCAUCCUCAGGAUUUCUGAUUCAACACUGCCAAACUGGGAACUCCUUGUUUUACUUGUAAUCUCCUCCAGGAGGUUCUUGUUCAGCCCACCGAGACUUGUCUGUGUACCAGAAUUCAGAAAGAGCUGAUGUAGAGGUUUUGUCCACAAUGAUAAAUUUAUCUGUCAUCAGUAACUGUUACUCUAGAUAGAAAUCACUCUUCAUAUUUAUGAUAAUCAAGUAACCCAAAAGCAAAGAUUGAGAGGAACUAAAACAGGUGGAAAAUAUUUAAAUCUGGAUAACAGGAGAAACAAGGGCAUGUGAUUUACCAAAAUAUGGGAGGAUGAGAUGGAGCUGGAUUUGAGAAGAUGUGCCCAAGGUCAAUGAGUCUGAACUGACAAAAUCUCAUCCAGCUAGAAAUAUCUACUGAUCAUUCAGAAAUAAGAGAGUCACAUUCCAAAAGAAGGUGGAGCUGGGGGUAAAACUGAGCAUUUGUGUCUAAGUCUUUGGAACCCCAGGGUAAAAUCAGAGAGCAUGAAUUCAGAGACUUCAGGGUGGGGGGUGGAGGUGGGAAAUAAUAGCUUGUCUGGAAACAGCGUGAGUAAAACACACAGACCAGAGCAUGCACAUCACCUGGGAACUUGUUAGAUAGGCUAAUUCUCAGGCUCCACUUGCCUUUGAUCUAUUGAGUAAACUCUGGGUGAGGGGCCCAGCAAUCAACGUUUUAACAAACCUGAUGCACCUAAAGCUUGAAAAAUCACAUGCUGAAGGAAUCGCCCUCAGCUGAGAUGUGACUGCCUUCAACUGAACUGACCAUUUAUGUCUUUCUGCAGAGCAGUGCAACUUCUUCAUAGGCAGCUUCUCAGCUGCUUUAAUUGCAGAAAUUUUAAAUUCACAUAAUUAACUGACCCAUUCACGUGAUGGUCACACGAAAAGGGACACUUUGCACCAAAAUCUUUUUUAAGUCUCCACAUAUUGCUAAACAAAGAGCUGCUUGCUGUGUUGGAAAGACAGUUUUCCUAGCAUCUGCUACUUUUAUCACAGUUUCAAAAAUAUUAGAGUCAAAUUUUAGCAUCCUAAUAGCCUGCAGCAGAGGCCUGAGCAUUAUCUAUCAAAGGGUGGGGGGAGAGACAACAAAAAGAAACAGAAGAUAUUAAAUGGAGAAAAUUGAUAAUGAUAGCAGUCAAAAGUGUGUUUUAUUUUUCAAACUCAAGGAUGGCCAUAGUUCCUAUUGACAUCUCAGACUCAAUAGUAAUAAACUCAAACUUUCAAGAGCCAAUCUACAUGAUACGAUUUCAACAUCAUUUUUGAUCAAAUUAUUCAAAUUAUUAAUACUAUUGAAUAUUUACCUGUCUUAAGCAUGGUAAUAGGUGUAAAGAAAUACAUGAGAAGAAUAUAAAACAUAGCUUCUAUUUUCAAACACCUCGGCGAGUUUGCUCAAUUAUUUAUCAUUUAUAACAAUAAUGCAUUAGUUUGAAAAACAGUCUUUUACACAUUUUAAGUCACUGUGGAGCCUAUUGGUGAUAUAUAUAAAACAAAUAAAUAAGCACAUAAAUAAGAUAAUUUUAUGUGAUCUGAUGAUAAAAGAAGAGCAUGGAGGAGAGAGACCAGGAGUAGGGAGUGGGACACAGUUUAGAAUGGCACUCAGGUAAGGAACAGAUAUUUGAAUUGGGGGAUAUAAGCUUUUCAAGCAGGGGAAACUGAGGUGCAAUAGUUUUAUUUAGGGGACAAGUGUAUUUUAUAUUAGGACUGGAAGGAAGGGUAGUAGGGCUGGAGCUUUAUGGCAAGGUGAUGUGCCAGGAGGUCACAAAAUUUUGCAUAAACCAGGUCAUAUGGGCCCUUGUAAGCCAUGGGAAAGGAUUUAAUUUUUUAUAGCAAGUGCUAUUGGAAUCUCUAUGGAGCAUUAAAGCAAAAAGCAUUACAUAUAGAGAGAUCACUUUAUGUUAGCAAAAGUUUUCUUAUAUCUAUGCCUGGGAUCAAUGUAAAUUAGUACAAUCACUUUGAUAAACACAUAGACAGUAUCUGGUAAAACUGAAUAUUUCAUAGAGAAGACCCAGCAAUUCUACUCUUAAGUAUGUUUCUCCUAGAAAUGCAUGCUAAUGUGUACCAGGAUAGAUACCCAGGAAUGUUUAUAGGGACAUUGUUCAUAGUUGUCCAAAAUAGAAACAAUCCUAAUAUCUAUUAAGAAUAGAAGAGAUACUUAUAAAAUAAAUCAGUCAUGAGGAUGAAAGGUACAACUUAGGGAAUAUGGUAAUAAAACAUUGUGAUCAUGCUGUUUGGUGACAGAGGGUAACAAAUCGUGGUGAGCACAGCGUAAUGUAUAGACAGAAUUGUCCAAUUACUAUGCAAUAUACCUGAAAAUAAUAUAACAUUGUAUGUCAACUAUACUUCAAUAAAAAAUAAACAAAAGAUACAUGAAUCAAAUUAAAAAAUAAAAAUAGACAAAAAGCAGCAAAAACGUGUUCAAUGUUAUAAUGUUCUGUGAAAAGCCCUGAGUAGAAAACUAUGAUAACAUGUAGGUAAGAUUAUUCAGUUAUAUGGACAAACCUCUAAAGGGGAUUACAGACUAGUGAAAAUACCUAUUUAGUUAAGGUGAUGAAAUUCUGAUUCACAAUAUAGUUUUCUCCUAAUAUUGCUAUUAUUUGAUAAAUAAAUAAAAUCUUUAAAAAUAUAAAAUUAUCUUCUUUAACGGAGAGAGAGAGUAAGCAGCAUAAGCAGUGGGGAAGGGCAGAGGGAGAAGGGGAAGCAGACCCCCCCCGCCACUGAGCAGGGUACCCAACCUGGUGCUCGAUCCUGGGACCCUGAGACCAUGACAUGAGUUGAAGGCAGACGCUCAACCAACUGAGGGAACCAGGCACCCCCAAAGAAGACAAUUUUUUAAAAAUGAAAAGUGUGGAUAAAUUAUAGUAUAUUCAUACAAUGGAGUGCUAUCAUGUUAUUUAAAAUACAGCCUCUCUAGUCGAGAGGUGGGAUCAACGUAUCCUUUGGGAUCCAUGAUCCCUUUGAAUCUAGUUGGGCUGUGGCAAAUCUGACAUUUUGGUGGAAAUGCCACAUGUCUUCAGAGUCUAGGCCAUCAAAGGCUAUAUAUUUCUACCCAAAUCUGCUAGAACAAUCACUUCUCAAGUCCUGAGGUGCCACGUAAAGAAGUGUCUACCCUGACACUGCCAUGCUGUAAGGAAGCCCAAGCCAUAUGGAGAGGACACAGAGUCAUCUUGGCCCAGCUGUCAGACAUGUGAGUGAAGAAGCCUCCAGAUAAUUCCAGUCCCUAGACAUUAGAGUCUUUCCAGUUAGGCCGCAAUACUGCAUGACAGAGACAAGUCUCUAAGCUGUGCUUUAUUUGAAUUGCUGACCCCCAAAAUCUAUGAGCAGAAGAAAACAGUUGUUCAUUUUAUGCUACUUUUGAGUGCCAAUGGGAGUGGUUUGUUAUGCGAACUGGAACAAUAUCAACAAAACCAUAGAAACACAUGAACAAAUAGAUAAAUUUAUCAAAAUAAGCUAGACAAAAAUAAUAAUUUUAAUCCUUUUGUAUAAAAUUUAAAAAGAAGAAAAUUUAUAUUGUUUGAGGGUGCGUAUAAAACAAAUAAGGGAAAUGGUUACCAUAAAAUUCAGGAUAAAUACUACAUGUAAGGGGGAGAAAAAUGGUUUUGAUCAGGGACACCUUGAUUAGGGAUCCCUAACACUAAUGCUUCCUGGUAUAGAUAAUUUUCUUUCUUUUUUUUUUUUUAAAGAUUUUUAUUUAUUUAUUCUUGAGAGACAGAGAGAGAGAGAGAAGCAGAGAGAUAGGCAGAGGGAGAAGCAGGCUCCACACAGGGAGCCUGAUGUGGGACUUGAUCCUGGGACUCCAGGAUCACACCCUGGGCUGAAGGCAGGCACCAAACCUGCUGAGCCACACAGGCAUCCCCUGAGCCACACAAGCAUCCCAAUAAUUUUCUAUUUCUUAUUUAAAUUGGUAACCACAUGAGUGUUCACCUUAUAAUAAUUGGCUAAGCCCUAUGCUUAUGCUUUAAACACUUUUCUAUAUGUGAAUUAUGUUACAUAAUAAAAAAGUAUUUUUUAAAAAAGAUAAUUCUGGCUUCUGGUUGAAAGACGACUCCAGUAAGCAAGCAGGGAAUCAGGAAAAUAAGUUACAAUGCUGUUUUUCUGCUUCAUGAGAAUGACACUGGCGGCUGGGACUAGCUGUGCAGUUGGUGAGACCAGGUUGGUUUCAAUAUAUUUUGAAAUAAGAGCUAUCAUAGGAUUUCCUGCUGGAUUAGGUGGGGAUAGGAGAGUACAGAAAAGAGAAGAGUCAGGAAGGAUUAUAAAUGUUUUACUUGAGUAAUUGGUUGGAUCGUGACAGUAUUAACUGAGAUUAUUAUGCACUUCAGUAUCACCAACUAGCAUUUGAUUUUAUUGCAAUAUGCCUAGUUUUCCUGAUCUAUGCUUUUGGGAUUAGUGAAUAUGUAAAAUUAAAAAUCUGAUGACCACUUACUAAGAUUAUCCAGCAGUUAAUACCUUUAUGAUAAUUAAGAUUUAAGAACAAAUUCUUCUACUCAGAUUUUCACCCAUCAUUCCCAGUUAUUAUGAAAAGAAAGUAAUAUAACUAAAAUGAAAAAAAAAGAAAUUCUCUAUAACCUCUAGAGUAUAAUUCCACUUAUUCCUUUUUUUUUUUUUUGAGAAGGAAUUUAAAUGGUCCAGAAAGAAAAGAAUAGUUAGACCUGAGCUCGAAAAUUAUAAACUAAACUUUACCAUUAACUAGCUGGGUAGGUUUAAGGAAACUUCUGUGAUUUAGCUUCAUAACAUCAAAUAGACUUACUUUGGUCUUAAAUGUUUUUGUGAGAGUAAAACAGCUUUUAAGGUAGCUUGUAAUGUAAACAUCUUUCAGAAACAAGACUAUGUUAUACUCAGCUGCUACCAGAGUCUAAAUUAGAUUAGUGACCCUAGAGAGUAAGGAAGUUGUGAAGAUGUCUUUUUGCAUUACCUGACUUCCUGAGAUGGAUGGGUGAUUCUGUUUAUUUCCUAAAAAAGGAGUGGUGUGGUAUAGAGGUGCCCUGUAGAGAUUUGGAGAAGGAAAAUGAAAUUUUGGUGAAUAAUACAGGCAACAGGCUUACAGUGAUCCUCACUCAGACUGGUUUUGAACCCAAAUACAAAUUGGUGGUGCUGUUCAUCAUAUCUUUCCAGUUCUCCUUCCACUGGGGCACCUGGUAAAUCAGUACUUCCUGGACCUCACUCCUUUUUAAGUAAAGUCAUGUGACAGCUACAGCCAUGUUGUAAGUGAAAGUGAUAUGUGUCACUCUCAGGUCAAGUAAUAACUGUCCAUUAAAAAGAACUGUCCAUCUCAGUAGAAUUUGAGAUGGGGAGUGAUUAUACCACCUGAGAUAUCUUUCAGAAGAAAAAGAAUAUAUAUGUAUAUAGAGAUAUAUACACACACAUAUUGGUGCUAAAUCACUGCAACUUAAGAAUAGCAUAACUUAAGCAGUAUUGAAUGGCUAAGAUUGUUCCGAUGGAAGUAUCCUUUGCACAUAAUGUUAUGUUGAUUUUGGAUGUAGAGCAUAGUGAUGAGAGAAGGGCUAGAGUGAGGACUAAAGGAGUUUGCUCGCUCACAUUAGAUUUUCUCCAUCAGGGGGUGUGUAAUCAGGAAUAAUCCUGUUAAUGGGAGGAGGUGCCCAGACCUCAUUCCCAUUGGCCCACAGUGCAGAAUACUGUGUUGGUACCCCUUAGCACCAGAGUGGUACCCAAAAACACUUCUAUG
rnacentral:lncRNA from 1 species